UAGCAUAAUCAAUUGUUUUUUAAUUGGGGACUGGAAUGAAAGGUUGAACAAUUUUUAAGUUUGUUAAUAUUAAUAUUAUGAAUUUUUAUUAUAAGUAAAAAUACUUAUAUAAAAUAAAGGGACGAUAAGACCCUAGAAGCUUAAAUUUGAAGAAUUAUAAGAUAUAUUUAUAUUUAAAAUUUAUAUUUUGUAAAAUUUUGAUUGGGGAAAUAUGAAUUUUUAAAAUAAUUCAUGUUUAAAGUAAUAAAAUAUUUAAAGAUCUUUCAAAUGAGAAAGAGUAGAAUUAGUUACUCUAGGGAUAACAGCGUAAUAAUUUUGGAUAGGCCAUAUACAUAAGAUUGAUUACGACCUCGAUGUUGAAUUAAAGUAUCUUUAUAAAGUANAAAUUAUAUAAGAAG
rnacentral:rRNA from 1 species